rnacentral:rRNA from 1 species
GUCUUUUAGAAAUUAAUUAAAAGUCUAAUCUGCCCAAUGAUUAAAAUUUAAAUGGCCGCGGUAAAUUGACCGUGCAAAGGUAGCAUAAUAAUUAGUCUUUUAAUUGAAGGCUUGAAUGAAUGAUUGAAUGAAAAAUUAACUUAAUUAAUAUUAUAAGUUGAAAUUAUUUUUUAAGUAAAAAAACUUAAAUAUAUAAAUGGGACGAGAAGACCCUAUAGAAUUUUAAAUAUAUUAAAGUUUAUUUAUUAUAGUUAUUUAUAUAAUUUACUGUGAUAUUUUUUUUGUUGGGGUGAUAUUAAAAUACAAUUAACUUUUAAUUUAAGUUUCAUAAAUUUAUGUAAAUAUUGAUCCAAUUUUUUUGAUUAAAAGAAUGAAUUACCUUAGGGAUAACAGCGUAAUUAAUUUGGAGAGUUCAUAUCGAUAAAUGAGAUUGCGACCUCGAUGUUGGAUUAAGAAUAGAAAUUAAAGCAGUAUUUAUUAUUUCUAGGUCUGUUCGACCAUUAAAUUCUUACA